UACAUACAUGAAGAAGGUGUAAGUGAAUGUUUCAUCAUCUAAUUGUAAAUACAUUUUAACUAAAAUGCAGGAACUAACUGUUAAGGAUGAAGUAAUUUAAAUUAUAAUAUCUAUAGUAUAUAAAAACAGACAUGUCUGGCCAGAUGAUGUGAGAAUAAGGAGUGACUGGAUUUCAAAUAAGUAACAAGCAACUAAAAAUUAUGUGCUGUGGGAUUCACCUGACCACCACACAUUAAAACAACCUGCAAAGAAGAGAUGAGGCAAUUUAAGAGAAAGGUUUCUAUGUUGGAGGAGCAAUGAAAAAUCUCAUUUAACAGAGAUAUUGGGUUAGUCAUAAUUUUUGCUUCUUCUGUCUGCAGAAAUCAGGUCUCAACAGAGCUCUUGGAUCCUGGAGAAACCUGAUGAGAGAUGUCAUUCCAAACCCACUGACAGAAAAGGAAGAGGAGUAAUAGUACUCACAUGUAAAUAAAGUGAGGCAAGCCCUGGAAAAUGCUUCACAACAAGAGGAAAAAUUGAGGAAUUAGGAGUGCUUGAAAGAGUCCUUUGUAGUACAAACACCUGUGGGAUGGGAAGAAAAUACUAAACAGUUCUAUAAUAUGAUCUCAAAUUUUCUCAAUGAAACAAGACAGCUUUCUCCCUCAUCUCAGUGCAGACAUGGAGAGAGGCCCUGCUUUCCUGCAGGAGCUCUGGAACCAAAAUCAGCUGGUGCCUCUUUACCACCUGUGAUCAUCUUGGUACUACCAGUGAGCUUGGCUUGCAGGAGCACUUUUUGAAUGAGACAUGAGGAUUGAUGCACAGCAAAGCCCGUGGGUAGUGCUGUGGUGGGAGCAUUUCACUGACAGAAAUCUGUGGGCUUUGUCUGGCCCACAGCAAUGCAGAUCUAAUUCAUCGCUUCACCGAGGAAUUUUUGUUGGAGCACGAAAUUGCUGUUUUAGCAGCAGCAAAAUCAGUAACCACGGUGUUCUC